UAGGGUUUUGGUUUAAUUAAAACGGUUGAGUUGCAGUCAGCAGAUGUAAAUUAGAGUUUUACAGGCCUU
rnacentral:tRNA from 1 species